UCCUAGGACCGCCUACUUUGCAAAAACAAAAGUGAGCAUGCUUAUUGGCUCCGGCCUUAUUAAUAGUAGUUUUUAAAAGAUCUGGGGCUUUUCAUUAUUCUUUGAGGUUGGUGCUGCCACUGCCUAUCUCACAACUCUUGCAGCAGCUGCAGGCAAGAGCAACUGGGGAACAACAAAGGGAAGCAGGAGGCACACAAAAUAGAGACAGAGACAACAUGGCUGACUGAUACAUUUAAGUCUUUAGAAAAACCCAGAUACCCAAGUUUGGGAACACCCACGUUUAUAAGGAAUUGGGGCUUAUCCAAAAGUGGCAGCUGGCAAGAGGUUCAACAAGCCCAUGGGAGGAGAGCAGGCUGAGCAAUUCCAUCUGUUGCUGCUGUAUGAUGACUAUCAAGAAAAUAAAAAGGAUGGAGCCUUAUCAGGCCAUAUUCCAAGAUGAAAUAAUCAGGGGCAGGAAAGAUUAUGAGCAAAGAAGUAGGUGUCUUUACGGUUGACACCAGCAGCAAGAUUUGGUAGUCUUGGCCCACACUUAAGUUUACAAAGAAUCAAACCAAAUAGCUUUCAGUGCUGUUCCCUUCAGUAAACACCCCUUAAAUUGUACCCAUCCAAACACCUCAC